GACGAACGCUGGCGGCGUGCCUAACACAUGCAAGUCGAGCGAAGUGUUUGAAGCUGAUUCUUUCGGGAAGAAGUUUCAAAUAUCUUAGCGGCGGACGGGUGAGUAACGCGUGAGGAACCUGCCUUCCACAAGGGGAUAGCCUUGGGAAACUGGGAUUAAUACCCUAUGACACUUAUUUACUGCAUGGUAGAUAAGUUAAAGCGAAUUAGCGGUGGAAGAUGGCCUCGCGUCCCAUUAGCUAGUUGGUGAGGUAACGGCUCACCAAGGCGACGAUGGGUAGCCGGCCUGAGAGGGUGAACGGCCACACUGGAACUGAGACACGGUCCAGACUCCUACGGGAGGCAGCAGUGGGGAAUAUUGCACAAUGGGCGAAAGCCUGAUGCAGCGACGCCGCGUGAGUGAAGAAGGCCUUCGGUCGUAAACUACUGUCCUAAGGACGGAUAAUGACGGUACCGUUACGGUAGGGAAGGACCCCGGGCCGUAACCUAACCGUGCCAGCAGCCGCGGUAAAGUACUACUAU
rnacentral:rRNA from 1 species